UACGUAGGGGGCAAGCGUUGUCCGGAUUUAUUGGGCGUAAAGAGCGUGUAGGCGGCCCGACAGGUCCGUUGUGAAAACUCGAGGCUCAACCUCGAGACGUCGAUGGAAACCGUCGGGCUAGAGUCCGGAAGAGGAGAGUGGAAUUCCUGGUGUAGCGGUGAAAUGCGCAGAUAUCAGGAGGAACACCGAUGGCGAAGGCAGGUCUCUGGGCCAUAACUGACGCUGAGAAGCGAAAGCAUGGGGAGCGAACAGG
rnacentral:rRNA from 1 species